rnacentral:lncRNA from 1 species
GGUUAAGGGCACCGACAGCCGUUCUGUUCCCAGGAGGGUCGCCUGGCCCUGGUGGGGGGGCCUGGGCACACAGACCACAGGCAGCCCCCAGUCCUUGCCCACCUCACUCCCUUCGAGGGGGACGGUGACCCCGGGCUCUGUGGGUGACACAGGUUUCUGCAGCUCAGGGAGGGGCUGCAGGUGGGUCUGGGUGACGUGCACCGGAAUCAGAGGCGGCAGGGCCCUUUGACCCGUCUCUCCCGUGACCUCAAGCGCUCACCGGAUGGCGAGUCAAGGGCCUGACGGGUCACCCAGACCGGGAGGUGGCCCUCGCUCUGGUGGGAUCUAAAGCCCGGGACACAGUGGGGUCUCCUUGAAGGAGGAGGGCAGCACGGCUCUGACCGUAGGCGGAGUCUCGUCUGGGAAGGACGGCUGCUGAGAGAUGCAGGGACACGCCGAGCCGGUUUAGGGGAGCCGCGGACCAGAUAAUGCAGCGUAAUGAGCACGCGACCCGCAGAGCGACAGACGUGGCCCUCACUCCUGGGGCCGACGUCAGGGGGCUGUCGGCCUCCCUCUGACCACAGGCCGUGUGUGCUGCUGAGCCUGGGAGCCGGGGGGCGGACACGGAGGCACGUGACAGGUGCAGGCACGCACCCCUCCCCGAAGCCUGAGGCCACCCUGUGAUCUGCCGCCGCGUCCUAAGGUUCAUGUUGAUGACACUCGAGCUGGCUGCCCCUGGAGCUCCACCAGCCUUCCAGAAUCGGGAACCCAAGCAACCCCGGCCCACAGGAAGGCCCAGGGGGGAGGCUGCUGACGUCUGCCGGGCGGCAGGUGCGUCCUCGUGAGACCUGCUGACACAGCAGCUGGCAUCUCUGGGUCCUUGGCCCUACGAGGUCCGGGAGGAGACGAACUGAGUCAUUCACGCCUGUGCUCUGCUCCCCCGCCUCCGACCUCAACCAGCCCUCCCGGGCCUGGGCCAUCAGCCGGCACGUGAGCCUGUCCGAAUUAUGCUUCGAGGCUCUAGGCUGUCGUGGCCCGGUGAGCCCUCCACCCACGACUACGGAGCUCAGUCCAACGUCAGUAAGCGGCAGCUCCUCUGAGCUCUGUUCUGCUCCUCGAAGCUCAUGGGCAAAGGCACUCGCGUCCCCCUCCCCGUGCUCACGCGCUCGAAACCCCCAGCCGCCUGUCUCUGUUCGGAGCAGAGCUCAGCACC